rnacentral:tRNA from 1 species
GGUUGUAGCUCAGUGGUAGAGCACUUGCCUUGCAUUCGUGAGGCCCUAGAUUCAGUCCUCAUCACCACAUAAAAAUAAAGACAUUAAAUAAAUAAGUAAAUGUCAAAGUUGUCAGUAAUAAAUUAUGAAAGGGGAAAACAAGCAUAAGAAUUUGCAUCUCUGGAUGUUUCUUAGUGGUAGAGAGCUUGCCUAGCAUGUGAGAGACCCUGGGUUUGAUCCUCAGUACUACCA